rnacentral:rRNA from 1 species
UACGUAGGUGGCAAGCGUUGUCCGGAAUUAUUGGGCGUAAAGCGCGCGCAGGCGGCCUCUUAAGCCUGAUGUGAAAGCCCCCCGGCUCAACCGGGGGAGGGCCAUUGGAAACUGGGAGGCUUGAGUAUAGGAGAGAAGAGUGGAAUUCCACGUGUAGCGGUGAAAUGCGUAGAGAUGUGGAGGAACACCAGUGGCGAAGGCGACUCUUUGGCCUAUAACUGACGCUGAGGCGCGAAAGCGUGGGGAGCAAACAGG